rnacentral:lncRNA from 1 species
CUGCCUCUCCUUAUUAUUCUUUUUAUUCCUCCCUUUAUCCACUUUUCUCUAUUUGUUUUUUUGUUCAUUUUCAACUAAAGCUCCCUCAUUAUUUUUCUUUUCUACUUCUUGCUUACUUUCUUUUAUUCCUUCCUCUUGUUCUUUUUUUGAUUCAACAACACAUCUUUCUUUUUUAAAAUUCACAUCAACUUCUGUUUCA